CUUACCAUGCAAGUCGAACGGAAAGGCCCUUUCGGGGGUACUCGAGUGGCGAACGGGUGAGUAACACGUGGGUGAUCUGCCCUGCACUUCGGGAUAAGCUUGGGAAACUGGGUCUAAUACCGGAUAGGACUACGAAUCGCAUGGUUUGUGGUGGAAAGCUUUUGCGGUGUGGGAUGGGCCCGCGGCCUAUCAGCUUGUUGGUGGGGUGAUGGCCUACCAAGGCGACGACGGGUAGCCGGCCUGAGAGGGUGUCCGGCCACACUGGGACUGAGAUACGGCCCAGACUCCUACGGGAGGCAGCAGUGGGGAAUAUUGCACAAUGGGCGCAAGCCUGAUGCAGCGACGCCGCGUGGGGGAUGACGGCCUUCGGGUUGUAAACCUCUUUCACCAUCGGCGAAGCCCGUAGCUUUUGUUGUGGGUGACGGUAGGUGGAGAAGAAGCACCGGCCAACUACGUGCCAGCAGCCGCGGUAAUACGUAGGGUGCGAGCGUUGUCCGGAAUUACUGGGCGUAAAGAGCUCGUAGGUGGUUUGUCGCGUUGUCCGUGAAAUUCCCUGGCUUAACUGGGGGCGUGCGGGCGAUACGGGCAGACUGGAGUACUGCAGGGGAGACUGGAAUUCCUGGUGUAGCGGUGGAAUGCGCAGAUAUCAGGAGGAACACCGGUGGCGAAGGCGGGUCUCUGGGCAGUAACUGACGCUGAGGAGCGAAAGCGUGGGGAGCGAACAGGAUUAGAUACCCUGGUAGUCCACGCCGUAAACGGUGGGUACUAAGUGUGGGUUUCCUUCCUUGGGAUCCGUGCCGUAGCUAA
rnacentral:rRNA from 1 species